rnacentral:rRNA from 1 species
GAACGAACCUUCGGGUUAGUGGCGGACGGGUGAGUAACGCGUGGGAAUCUGCCCUCAGGAGGGGGAUAACGGUUGGAAACGACCGCUAAUACCCCAUAUGCCGAGAGGUGAAACGAAAUUCGCCUGAGGAUGAGCCCGCGUCUGAUUAGCUAGUUGGUGGGGUAAAGGCCUACCAAGGCAUCGAUCAGUAGCUGGUCUGAGAGGAUGAUCAGCCACACUGGGACUGAGACACGGCCCAGACUCCUACGGGAGGCAGCAGUGGGGAAUUUUCCGCAAUGGGCGCAAGCCUGACGGAGCAACGCCGCGUGAGGGAUGAAGGCCUCUGGGCUGUAAACCUCUUUUCUCAAGGAAGAAGAACUGACGGUACUUGAGGAAUAAGCCACGGCUAAUUCCGUGCCAGCAGCCGCGGUAAUACGGGAGUGGCAAGCGUUAUCCGGAAUUAUUGGGCGUAAAGCGUCCGCAGGCGGCCUUGAAAGUCUGUCGUUAAAGCGUGGAGCUUAACUCCAUUUCGGCGGUGGAAACUACAAGGCUUGAGUGUGGUAGGGGCAGAGGGAAUUCCCGGUGUAGCGGUGAAAUGCGUAGAUAUCGGGAAGAACACCAGUGGCGAAGGCGCUCUGCUGGGCCAUAACUGACGCUCAUGGACGAAAGCUAGGGGAGCGAAAGAGAUUACAUACCCCUGUAGUCCUAGCCGUAAACGAUGAACACUAGGUGUCGGGGGAAUCGACCCCCUCGGUGUCGUAGCUAACGCGCUAAGUGUUCCGCCUGGGGAGUACGCACGCAAGUGUGAAACUCAAAGGAAUUGACGGGGGCCCGCCCAAGCGGUGGAGUAUGUGGUUUAAUUCGAUGCAACGCGAAGAACCUUACCAGGGUUUGACAUCCUGCGAAUCCCUCGGAAACUUGGGAGUGCCUUCGGGAGCGCAGAGGCAGGUGGUGCAUGGCUGUCGUCAGCUCGUGUCGUGAGAUGUUGGGUUAAGUCCCGCAACGAGCGCAACCCACGUCUUUAGUUGCCAGCAUUUAGUUGGGCACUCUAGAGAGACCGCCGGUGAUAAACCGGAGGAAGGUGUGGAUGACGUCAAGUCAUCAUGCCCCUUACAUCCUGGGCUACACACGUACUACAAUGCUACGGACAAAGGGUUGCAAACUCGCGAGAGCUAGCUAAUCCCAUAAACCGUGGCUCAGUUCAGAUCGUAGGCUGCAACUCGCCUACGUGAAGGAGGAAUCGCUAGUAAUCGCAGGUCAGCAUACUGCGGUGAAUACAAAGCCCCCCCUUGCACACACCGCC